GAUGAACGCUGGCGGCGUGCCUAAUACAUGCAAGUCGAGCGAAUGGAUUAAGAGCUUGCUCUUAUGAAGUUAGCGGCGGACGGGUGAGUAACACGUGAGUAACCUGCCCAUGAGACUGGGAUAACUCCGGGAAACCGGGGCUAAUACCGGAUAACAUUUUGAACCGCCUGGUUCGAAAUUGAAAGGCGGCUUCGGCUGUCACUUAUGGAUGGACCCGCGUCGCAUUAGCUAGUUGGUGAGGUAACGGCUCACCAAGGCAACGAUGCGUAGCCGACCUGAGAGGGUGAUCGGCCACACUGGGACUGAGACACGGCCCAGACUCCUACGGGAGGCAGCAGUAGGGAAUCUUCCGCAAUGGACGAAAGUCUGACGGAGCAACGCCGCGUGAGUGAUGAAGGCUUUCGGGUCGUAAAACUCUGUUGUUAGGGAAGAACAAGUGCUAGUUGAAUAAGCUGGCACCUUGACGGUACCUAACCAGAAAGCCACGGCUAACUACGUGCCAGCAGCCGCCGUAA
rnacentral:rRNA from 1 species